rnacentral:rRNA from 1 species
AGAGUUUGAUCCUGGCUCAGAACGAACGCUGGCGGCAGGCCUCAAACAUGCAAGUCUAGGGGGUGCAGCAAUGCAUCACCGGCGGACGGGUGCGUAACGCGUGGGAAUAUACCUAUUGGUUCGGAACAACUGCGGGAAACUGCAGCUAAUACCGAAUGUGCCCGCAAGGGGAAAGAUUUAUCGCCAAUGGAUUAGCCCGCGUAGGAUUAGCUAGUUGGUGGGGUAAUGGCCCACCAAGGCUCCGAUCCUUAGCUGUUCUGAGAGGAAGAUCAGCCACACUGGGACUGAGACACGGCCCAGACUCCUACGGGAGGCAGCAGUUGGGAAUCUUGGACAAUGGGGGAAACCCUGAUCCAGCCAUGCCGCGUGAGUGAUGAAGGCCUUCGGGUUGUAAAACUCUUUCGACGGGGACGAUAAUGACGGUACCCGUAGAAGAAGCUCCGGCUAACUUCGUGCCAGCAGCCGCGGUAAUACGAAGGGGGCUAGCGUUGUUCGGAAUUACUGGGCGUAAAGCGCGCGCAGGCGGCUAUCCAAGUCAGUGGUGAAAGCCCGGAGCUCAACUCCGGAACUGCCAUUGAAACUGUUUAGCUUGAGGACGAGAGAGGUGAGUGGAAUUCCCAGUGUAGAGGUGAAAUUCGUAGAUAUUGGGAAGAACACCGGUGGCGAAGGCGGCUCACUGGCUCGUUUCUGACGCUCAGGCGCGAUAGCGUGGGGAUCAAACAGGAUUAGAUACCCUAGUAGUCC